rnacentral:tRNA from 1 species
GCACGGUGGUGCAGUGGAUGGCACUCUUGCCUCGUGGCAAGACGGUCCCGGGUCCAAAUCCGACUGUAGCA